ACUGUUGUCACAACAGAAAAAGGACAGACAGAUGAGUGAAAUAAAAACAGUUUAUUGAACGGGUUGACAACAGGGACGUGAUGCAGCAACAGUGAGUAUAGCAGUUCAAUGUAAUCAUAUGAAGACUUAGCUGAAACGUAAUAAGAGUGUCUCUUUGGCAGAUGCAGACUUAAGGCUGGGUGGAAUACACGAUGGCUGGAAGCAGACGACAGAAGACUGGAUCCUUGGUGGCAGUUAAGUAGACAGGGGGAUCAGCAAAGCACGAGAGAGGGAUGAAGAGAAAGAAGCAACAGAAGGGGAAAGAAGAAGACUGAGUUCCACAAACCUUGAGCUAGGAGCAAGUCAUGAUGUCAUUAAAGUCUGAUUUCGGAAGGAUCAUGUGACACUGAAGACUGGAGUAAUGAUGCAUCAUUAGCUUAGCAACAUGUAAACUACUGGAAUCAGAUGUUGUGAGGAGGGUGUAUUCUUCAGGGUGAACACCUCCCUUGUAACGUGGAAAGAUUCCAGCGACACUGCAGCAUUGUAUGUGUUGAGGAAGUGCUGUUCAGUUAGGUAACGGAAAACUCCCUUUUUGUCGGUUUGGUUUGAGAGGAGAUGCACACUCACUCGGAACAAAGUCACCAAUUCGGCCGGAAGAGGACAACAAUAACAUGUUGUUUGAUGAGAACAAAUCAAUGAAUAAUCCAAAAGGCCAAAUAAGAGCCUCUUCAUGAUAGCAGAGAUGAUGACAAUUGGCCCAUUCAAAAUGCUCUGCAGCGAAAGGUCCAGUGCAGAGGAGUGACCAUUUGUCAAAACUCAUUACUUCAUCGUGCUAUCAAUGAAUAGUAUGAAUUAUUUGAUCUCUCUCUAUCUCUGGCUCUUUUUCCAUCUCUGUUCUCUCAUUUUAUAGCUUUCUUUCUCAUGUUGUGCUGUUCUGCUUUGAAACAUUUUAGAAAUUAUGGAUUUAAAAAUGAUAGGGCUUUUCAAAGAUUAAAACAAUUCCAAACAAAUAUAUGUGAU